UAGUUGAUUAAAAAAUCGGUUACUAAACUCGUCUCUCAAAAAAAUUAAAACUGCUACUUUUGCUAAUUGCAAACACGAGAUUUCCCCCUUUCUGAUCGAAAGUCGAAACCCUAAGGUGUUGAAUCAUCAUCUAAUUUUUUCAGGUAUUAAAAUUGCAGGAAAAAUGGCACGAGUUUACGUUGGUAAUUUGGAUCCUCAUGUCACUGAACGCGAGCUCGAGGAUGAAUUUCGAGUUUAUGGCGUUCUUCGGAGUGUAUGGGUCGCCCGAAGGCCACCCGGCUAUGCCUUUAUUGAGUUUGAUGACAAAAGGGAUGCACUUGAUGCAAUUCACGCUCUUGAUGGAAGGAAUGGCUGGCGAGUGGAAUUGUCCCAUAAUGCGAAGGGUGGCGGCGGCCGCGGUGGACGUGGGCGUGGGGGUGAGGAUAUGAAAUGCUAUGAAUGUGGUGAACCUGGUCAUUUUGCUCGGGAAUGUCGCUCGCGAUUUGGUUCAAGAGGGAUAGGUGGUGGACGGCGUCGAAGUCCUUCCCCUAUUCGUCAUCGUGGAAGUCCUGGUUAUGGCCGCAGGAGCUAUAGCCCUCGUGGUUAUAGCCCAAGAGGAAGGAGGUCACCACCAAAAAGACGUAGCAUAUCGCCUGGAUAUCGUCGUGGUCGAAGCUAUAGUAGGUCACCACCAUAUCGUCGUGUUCGCCGUAUCUCACCUUAUGGCUAAUGGUGUUUGAUGCAGGUUAAUGUUGAUGGAGCUUUUAGGAGGCAGCAGUUGGCAACAAUAGUACUAAUAGGAAUGGUGGCUUGAUAUUACUGGAUUUCUCUUUUGCGUCAACUUGCUCUCUACGCCUAUGUUGUGUGGUUUAGGAUGCAACGGCAUCGUUUCGACACUUACUGCUUAGCUUGCUCCAUUUUUUGUCUGCAUCGUCAUCUGCUUAUCGAGUUUUCGUCGCUUCUACUUCUUAGCUUCAUGUCAUCCUGAAUCUGCAACCUCAGUUGUUUGGCUGCCCUCGAACUUAUAAAUCUCAUCAUCUACGACCGAGCUGCUCUACUUAGACCACUGAUACUGUGCUAGCCUUUCGAAGAAGAUGAGACCUCUUAAUCUUUUCAUCAUAGCUUGAUUGUGAGUGCCACAGAAGUAAUCAGGAGUUCUAUUUCUGGAUGUUGUAAAAGUGAACUCAAAAGUCAAAAAGAGUUGAAAAGGAAGUAAACAGCACAUGCCUCUUUGCUUGAACAUCUAAGAGUCACAACGUACUUCUCAUAGUGCACUUAAGAGUUGAGAAGUAAACAGUACAUCCCCCCUUUGCCUGAACAUCUAAGAGUCGCAACAUACUUCUCAGGGGUUCUUUAUGGACUUGAUCUCCCUGCUUCUUCUUGUGACCUGGUAAAAAGUACUCCUCCAAUUCCUUUGUCCUUUGGGCAAAAUAACAUUUAUUCCUGCGCAGUUUGCAGGACAUCAGUGAAAGUCCUUCAGCAGGUAAGGUCCCUUUUUUCCCCUUUUCCUUUUUCGCCUGCUUGUUACUUGCUUGUGUUGCCAAAUGUGUUCCUUUGUCUCUGAUCUGUCUUCAACAUUUGUGUGAUAUGUGAAACUGAAUGUUCAGACAUUAUUAUGUGAACAUGACUGAUGCUUUCAGUCAUUUCAUUUAAAAUUUUGGUUGCUUGCUCAAUCGAAGAUGCAUCCAUUAGUAGAAUUUUCCGUAAGGUAUUUCUUAUGGUUUGACCAAGGAAGGUUGUAAUACAUUUUGGUGCAAUAGACUGGUACCACAAAUUAGCGGAGCAAGUGAAGUGCAAAUAGUUGAACACUUUGAUACUUUGUUCCUUCGUAAUAUGUGGAAUAAUUAAGGUCUUCAACUCAGGUGUUUACUAGGACUACAAUAAAUGUCAUUGCAAAAUGAUAUUAUGCGGAAAUUCCGAGUAACUUUGAAGGGUUAAUAUGGAAUAGUAGCGUGAUUACUGGGCUUAUAUGAAACUGAAGCACACAUAUUUUGGGAAAUAGCUCUUAUUGUCUUGUUUGGUAAGGUCGUAAGUGGAGGUAUGUUAAUGAGCUCGUGUGUUGCAUGGAACGUUUCAUAUACUUCUUCCGUAACAAAAUAGAUGUUACACUUUCUAAAUAUGGUUGUAACAAAAUAAAUGUUACACUUCCUUUUUAGGCAACAAUCACUCUCUAUCUCUCUCCUAUCACAUGGGUCCCCUUUUUUCUUUCUCUCUAUCUCUCUCCUCUUCAAAAAUUUGCCUAGAAAAGUGUGUUUUCGAAAGUGUAACAUCUAUUGUGUUACGGAGGAAGUAUAUGGUAAUGGAUCUUGACCUCCAGUUAUGUGUUUCUUCUCCAAUUAUUGCUCUUGAAGUCUUGGACAUUGACAUGGCCCAUGCAAAAUUACUCUCAAAUGAACUACUAAUACCUCAAUAUAUGACCUUAUACCAAAAGUUGCAAACACCACCAUGGUGCCACAUGUGUUAUUUAUAUGUUUCAGUAGAUUUGAGAUUCACCUGCACUUGUCAUGAUUUCUCGAUUAGAAAGGGCUUGUUAGAGUUUUACUGUUCUUUAUGCUGACUACUAAAUAUGUGUAUGACAUAAACGUGACAUAGACUCAUAUCCAGGGUUCAAGAUCGUUUGCAUUUUCUGCCUGCUGUAUGAAAGUGCGUUGUGUUUGAGCUUUUUACCUUGAUUAUGAAGAAACUAGAGCUUGAUACAUCUUUUAUGUGAAUGUUUGUAUGCUGAAUACUAAAUGUGUAUGACAUAAAAGUGACAGACACAUAUCCAGGGUUGAAGAUCUAUCUUUCCUGUUUGCAUUUUCUGCCUGAUGUAUGAGAGUGCGUUGUGUUCGAGCUUUUUACCUUGAUUAUGAAGAAACUAGAGCUUGUUACAUCUUUUAUGUGAAUGUUUGGGACAAUCUUUUCUUUGGUAACCUUUUUAACUCCAACUCAACGGUUUGUGGAUAGCCUGAGAAAGUUGGUCUCGAUAUGGAGGUGGAUCAUCGAAGGCCCGGUUGAUCUCCAUAUUUUGUUUUCAUAUUUGAAAGCUUACAAUUGAUAUUUUUGUCAAGAUGUAAGUUUGGCGUGCUAGUUUGUCCCAAAACUUGUUGAGACCUUUUUGGAUCCUUAAUAUAGUUUGUGCAUAAAAUGAAAACAAAAGCAGGGCGGUCUUGAGCUCCAACUUCUAAACUUAAUCUGUUCAUUUGA